ensembl:lncRNA
GGGGACUUCAGCCUAUCUGCCCCCCCUCACUGCUUCCCUCUCUCCCUGCUUCUAAGCCCGGAAACUGCAGAUUCCGGGGCCCUUCACAGGUGAGCACAUGGCAGUGCCUGAGACCCUGGCCGGGCCCUGCCCUGCUGUGUGCCUGCCCACUGUCUCGGUCUCUCUUUGUUUCUCUGCCGCUCCGUCCCUCCAUCUGUCUGCCUCUCCCCGACCCUGCUAUUGCUGCCCUUGCCUGUGCAGCUGCCCUGGGUCGCAUCACCAGCUCCAGCCCUCCUGCCUCCCCACCCCGUGCCCUGCUGCCUUCCCGAAGGCCUGACCUGCCCUGCCCUUCCCCCACAGCGAGAAGGCGCUGCAGAGCAACCACUUUGAACUGAGCUUGCGCACUGAGGCCACUCAGGGGCUGGUGCUGUGGAGUGGCAAAGCCACAGAGCGCACUGACUAUGUGGCUCUGGCCAUUGUGGAUGGGUGCCUGCAGCUGAGCUAUGACUUGGGCUCCCAGCCUGUGGUGCUGCGCUCCACUGUGAAGGUCAACACCAAUCGCUGGCUGCGGGUCAGGGCUCACAGGGAGCAGCGGGAAGGGUCCCUGCAGGUGGGCAACGAAGCCCCUGUGACUGGCUCCUCCCCGCUGGGCGCCACACAGCUGGACACAGAUGGAGCCUUGUGGCUCGGGGGGCUUCGGAAGCUGCCCGUGGGCCAGGCCCUACCCAAGGCCUAUAGCACAGGCUUCGUGGGCUGCCUGCGGGACGUGGUGGUGAGUGGGCGCCCGCUGCACCUGCUGGAAGAUGCAGUCGCCAGGCCGGAGCUGCGGCCCUGCCCCACCCCCUGACCGGCACCCAAGCCCCAGCCCACCCUGCUGUAAUUAUUUUUUAUUUUUGUAAACUUGUUGCUUUUCAAUAUGAUUUUCUUGCCUGUGUGUUGGCCAGAGGGACUGCUGACCUGGCCUCUUUUCUGUCCAGGCAGCUGUGCUGCAGAGGCCUGGUGUCCAGGCCCCACAGUGCUGUAUGGCAGCCUCAGGACUUGCCCCUCUGCCACAGCCCUGUGCACUGUGUCCCCAGCGUGUUCACCUGUCGGUCCCUGGCAUUCCUGACCCCGUUGGCAGACUCCACUCCCCAUGUUACCAUGUUUUGUCAGAUGAGGUCCAUGUCCCAGAGCAGGGGAGCAGCUGGAUUGGAUGGGGCCUUCCUCCGAGCAAGCCCCUGGGGCCUUCUGGUUCCCACUUACACUGCUCUUGCCUGUGUGUCCUGUGGGCGAGCCUCAUCUGGGCUAGCCUGGAGCCCGGGGCCCUCCGUGCCAGUACUGUGACUUAGAAACAAUGUUCCUUUUGGGCCCAGGCCCCACGCCCCCAGUGUGUCUGCUAGCCCCAGGGUGCCGGGGAACAGAGUCCAUGGCCAGGCUCCCCUAGGGCACCCUCACUCGGCCUGGCCCACCCACCCUGGAUGUAGCCCCCUUCCUACACUCAGGCCCAGUGAGGAGCUCCUCAAGGAGGGGUCCGCUGUGUGGCGUGGGCUCCUUCCCUCAGGGGUGGGUGUCCGGGCCUGACACCCACCGCGUUUUCAAACAUUGGUCUCGUUUGAUGCCCGAAGGUCACACCUUUUGUCCUGCCCUGACCCCAGAGCAGUACAGGUUGCAGACCAGGUCCACAUGAGGGAGGCUGUGCUCAUCUGAGAGCGGACAGCCUGGUGCCUGACCAAAGCCGAAGGCCAGGGGCCGGUGUGGCAGAGAUGGCAGUGGAGCUGGAAACGCCUUAAACCAUAGCGUCCAUCCUCACCACUCCCCGCCCUCUGUGCAAACUGUUCAAGGGCCAUCCAAGGCUGCUAGGGUGGCAGCCUGGCCCCCCUGCAGGGGAGGGGGAGGCAGGAGGGAGCGUCUGGGGUCUUGUUACUAACUCCAGUAUAAGUCCAUCAAACACCGUGAAAUAAAGACUGUAAACAAAGAGG